UUAAUUGAAACCAAAAUUAGAGGUAACUUAAUGUUAAUAAGAAAAUUGAAUAAAAUUCCAAUUAAA
rnacentral:tRNA from 1 species